CAUGGUUGGCUCCGGGGACGGUCGCUACCUCAUUUCUUCCCUCUGGAGGGUGUCCGACUCCACUCCCGCGAUCCCCUCGCUACGCUGCCAGCCUUUGCAGCGCGCCCCCUCCGGUGCCGCGAGCGGUAGCCACCUCGCCAGCCUCACAUCCUUGCUGUCCGAGAGGAAGAUCUCGGAAAUCGCCAAGACCUGGGGUUACCCCGCGGGAAAAGCCACUUGAAUUCUGACACUCCACCCCCAGGCUGAAUUGCAACCUCACUGAAUAAAUAAUUUUAUUCUAUUAAAGAAAAUAAAGGAAGAGCAAACACACACCGAGACUUAUCUUUCAUUAUCUUGGAGCCCUUUCUCCACAGGUAAAGAGCAGAAAGUGAAAAGAGAAAUAAGUGGUAAUAAGAUGAUUGGAGGGAACACUGUAGUAUAUAGUUGAUUUUAAAAAGGUGCUUCCAACUCCGAACCCCCAGUAGUGUCCCCUUCUUGGGUCAGGUCUCAAGGUAGAGCAGUUUUCUGAGAUGUAUACAAUUUCUAAGUAAUGCUUGUGUGUGGUUAAAACUCAGUUUACUUCGCAAGCCAGUCAUUCAAUUUUAUUACAUCAUUGUCACAUUAUGGAUGAGAAUUCCUAGUAAAAAUUCAAAUGACAGUUUUUUAUUUGUGUCAAAUACUGCCCAGCCACCCACUACUAGGAAUGAUUAGCACUAAUCAUUUUCUUCUCUUGUGUCAGCUGGACAAUGUUGCUUUAAUCAUCUGACCAGCUUGACCUUUGGCUUGUUAACUCAUUUCUGGGCUCUUGGAAUAACUGGCUUGCCUCUGUGGUCUGCUCAGUCAAAGCAAAAACACUUCAAGCUGCAAUGUGUGAUAUGUCCAGAUGAGACCCUGCAUCAAAGUCUCAGAGUCAUGGGUGCUGAGUUUCAAUUUAACUAACUUUCCUGCGUACCUUUGGGUACCAGGCCCUGAGCUGGGAGCAGACCCAAUUCCUGUCUCCCAGAAGCUCCCAUUCCAACGAAGGAUGUAAACUCCACUCAAUGCUGGGCUGCCACUGGAAUGUAGAUUCUAUGAGAGCAUCCUAUAUCCCCCAGGGCCUGAUACAAAUGGGCACUACUUAAUUGUUGAAUGAAUGUAUGAAAUAUGGAUGUGAACAAGAAGACAGUGGCUAAAUGCCCUGAGAAAGACCUAAAGUACUAUGAGAAGCUGGAAUAAAGGUUCUUUGUGACUAAGAAAAUCAGAGAAGUUUCCACAGAAGUGGUGAUGUUUGUAGAACCAAGAGGGUUUUGCCAAGCAGGGAAGAAUUAAGGGGCUUUUCAGAUAUAGAGAAGAGAAAGAUUAUAAAACAUAAAAAUGGAUGCAAAUGUGCAGUUGAAGAUGGCAUUUAAUGAUUGUAACAAUGAAAUAAGAAAAUUUCCUGAUCAAACAAGGAAGUUUCCUGAUCAACCUUUCCCCCCUCCUAGUCUCUGAAGUAAAGAAUGUCCUUUUGAUGGUUGGCUGGCCCCAGAGUGCCGUUAGACCAGAGCUAUAAUGCCUUACUCCUCAGCUGCUGAUGGGUUAGUGGAGACACGGUAUUGGAAUGAGCUGACUAGGACUAUAGUAGGCCAUUUAAACUGAGGUUAAUUCUUCUUCUGCUCACAUUUCUGGAAUAUCUUGCAGUAGCAAUGCAGUAGAUGGCAUAUGCUCCAAACAAACAAACAAAAUUUAAUAAAAAUCACAUCAAAUUAACCUGUGCUGUGACUUUUAGCUGGCCCAUAAUCUCGAAGUCUAAACUCUACAAAAUUUGACGUCAUGUUCAAGCAGUUAAUAUUUCCAAAUUACUUGGAGGUCCAAGAGUCAGAAGGGUUUGGGGAGGAAGAAAGAGGAGGGACCAGGGAUGGGAGCUAGGGCUGGUCUCAGCCUCUGCAAGAGGCAGUGCUUGGGCUUCAUGCGGUGACGGGUGACAGGGAAACUAGUGGACCACAGCAGCAGGGAAGACUCCACUGGUAGGCCAGGCUUUUCAGAGGAGCGAGAGUGUCAGCCCCAGAUGCACAGGCCCACAGAGCUGUUCCUGUGGACUGGUUUCUGCCAUACCUGGACUACCUUCUUAAUAAGACUUCUUUCAACCUGAGGAAGACAGAAGAGUUAAAGCAAAUGUGAACACUCCAGUGUGGGAGUUACACUCUGUCUUUGUACUCAAAGACAUGAGAAUGGUGGCGGGAGAGGGGCGCGUACCAGGCUGUCUCCUGGAGUCCUGGGUCUGGGCCAGCCUCUGGGGCCCACCGCACCUUGUGGAGAAGCCGGUCACCCCCUUGGAAAGCACACGUUGCAGCUGAGGCUGCAUUCUGUCAACUGGGAAAGCCGGCAGCACCACUGUGAGUCCAGACCACAGAUCUGAGAUCAGAGCAGUUCCAGAAUAGACCUCAGUAAAGUCGGCUGGAAAGGGCUUAGAAACUGCAUGGGACCGCAGACUGACUGCAGUUGUUUUUUAUGACACUGCCCCAUCUACUGGUGUCAGGCAGGAAUGACACCUGUUGAGAUGGUUUCUCGUACAACCAGAUAAGCCAGCAGUUAUAUACAGUCAGGUCACAGCUGGAAAGAAACCCAGCGUCUAAUGUAACAUCUGAGAGUCAGCCUUUUAGCUCACAGGCAGCUUUCUUACUGGCUGUCUCCUAACUUAUUUCUUGCAUAAUUCCCCCCCCUUGGCUCCCCUUCCCCCAACAUCCUAUUGAAUGAACACUGGCUUCAGAGAUGACAGAUGUAUCCAGGACCUUUAAAGUCAUUCAACAAAUAUUUGUUGAGCGUCUACUGUGGAUGUGAUACAGUUGCUCGGGGAUCCUGUACCAAAGAAGACAGACAGGUCUUUGCCCUCAUGGGAUUUCUAUCCUAUGGGGAGGCAGAUAAUAAGCAAACAAAUAACUAAUAAAAAUCAGACAGUGAUAAAUCUCUAAAGAAAAGAAAGCAGUGUUAGGAGUGGAAAGUAGCCAAUUUAGACAGCAUAGCGAGGGACGGCAUCUCCGAGCAGAAACCUGGAUGAGAUGAAGUCAGCCGGGCAAAGAUAUAACAGGAGAGCUUUCCAACCUGUGCCGGCCGACAGGCUAGUCACUGGCCACAUGUGUCUAAUGAGCACUUGAAAUGGACUUGGUCCAAAUUGAAAUGUGA